UACAGAGGGUGCAAGCGUUAAUCGGAAUUACUGGGCGUAAAGGGUGCGUAGGUGGUUAGUUAGGUUAAGUGUGAAAGCCCUGGGCUUAACCUGGGAAUGGCGCUUAAUACUGGCUAGCUAGAGUACUGUAGAGGAAAGUGGAAUUUCCGGUGUAGCGGUGAAAUGCGUAGAUAUCUGGAGGAAUACCGGUGGCGAAGGCGGCAUCCUGGACCGGCAUUGACGCUGAGGAGCGAAAGCCAGGGGAGCAAACGGG
rnacentral:rRNA from 1 species